AUGUUCCUCGACUUAUUUUGGCUUUUAUUCUAUGUAGCUUGUAAAAGAAGACUAUGCUUUUAUUAUGCAUGAAUUCUUAUUCGUUUAUUCUACGAAAUGCAUGAAUGCAGAAGAGUACACAACUCUUGAGCCUCAACUCCCCCUAUAAAUACAAACCUGGUGAAACCAUAAUUAUUCGUGCAUUCCAAACCAUAAACUUCUUUUAACUACAUCUACUUAAGCAGUAAUCGAGACAAUGGCUUCAGUUCAACAAGCUCAGAUGAAUGGAAAAUUCAAUGACAAGCAAAAAGCAGCAAUCGGAAAGGCGAUACAGAAAGCACAAAACGCCGUAGACAGCAACAAAAGUGCAAAGGGCGAGAAUGGAGUGGAGUGAAAUCCAAACAAAAUUGAAUGAAUCGGACACCUACAGUGAAUUCACAGACAAAGAGACAGGUGCUUCAGCCUCUGCUGAAAUUAGGCACAUUGGUGAUAAACGGGCUCUCGUUGCUGCCAACUUCGAUCGCAUCGACGUUAAUUGAAUCGUGUUGCCCGUUUCAAAAAUAGCCUAAGGGGCACCUAAGACUUUUCCUAUUAUGCAAUUUAUAUCGUAUUAUUUGUAUGCUUUAAGUAAAUAAAGCCCCUUGGAUUUGUAUUGUUGGAUCAUGAAA